rnacentral:rRNA from 1 species
AACGAACGCUGGCGGCAGGCCUAACACAUGCAAGUCGAACGCUGUAGCAAUACAGAGUGGCAGACGGGUGAGUAACGCGUGGGAACAUGCCCUUCGGUUCGGAAUAACUCAGGGAAACUUGAGCUAAUACCGGAUACGCCCUUAGGGGGAAAGAUGUAUUGACGAAGGAUUGGCCCGCGUCCGAUGAGGUAGGUGGUGAGGUAACGGCUCACCAAGGCGACGAUCGGUAACUGGUCUGAGAGGAUGAACAGCCACACUGGGACUGAGACACGGCCCAGACUCCUACGGGAGGCAGCAGUGGGGAAUAUUGGACAGUGGGCGCAAGCCUGAUCCAGCCAUGCCGCGUGAGUGAUGAAGGCCCUAGGGUUGUAAAGCUCUUUCGCCAUGGACGAUAAUGACGGUACCUGGAUAAGAAGCCCCGGCUAACUUCGUGCCAGCCGCCGCGGUAAUAC